rnacentral:rRNA from 1 species
GACGAACGCUGGCGGCGUGCCUAAUACAUGCAAGUAGAACGCUGAAGAGAGGAGCUUGCUCUUCUUGGAUGAGUUGCGAACGGGUGAGUAACGCGUAGGUAACCUGCCUUGUAGCGGGGGAUAACUAUUGGAAACGAUAGCUAAUACCGCAUAACAAUGGAUGACACAUGUCAUUUAUUUGAAAGGGGCAAUUGCUCCACUACAAGAUGGACCUGCGUUGUAUUAGCUAGUAGGUGAGGUAACGGCUCACCUAGGCGACGAUACAUAGCCGACCUGAGAGGGUGAUCGGCCACACUGGGACUGAGACACGGCCCAGACUCCUACGGGAGGCAGCAGUAGGGAAUCUUCGGCAAUGGGGGCAACCCUGACCGAGCAACGCCGCGUGAGUGAAGAAGGUUUUCGGAUCGUAAAGCUCUGUUGUAAGUCAAGAACGAGUGUGAGAGUGGAAAGUUCACACUGUGACGGUAGCUUACCAGGAAGGGACGGCUAACUACGUG